rnacentral:rRNA from 1 species
AGAGUUUGAUCAUGGCUCAGGAUAAACGCUGGCGGCGUGCCUAACACAUGCAAGUCGAACGCUCUGCGCAAGCGGGAGUGGCGGACGGGUGAGGAACACGUGGGUCAUCUACCUUCUGGUGAGGAAUACCGGCGAGAAAUCGCCGACAAAACCGCAUACGCUUGGGAAACCAAGCAAAGUCGCAAGACGCCGGGAGAUGAGCCUGCGUCCGAUUAGCCUGUUGGUGGGGUAAAGGCCUACCAAAGCGACGAUCGGUAGCUGGUCUGAGAGGACGAUCAGCCACACUGGGAUUGAGAACGGCCCAGACUCCUACGGGGGGCAGCAGUGAGGAAUUUUCGUCAAUGGGGGCAACCCUGAACGAGCAACGCCGCGUGCAGGAAGAAGGUUUUCGGAUCGUAAACUGCUUUUCUGUGGGAAGAGAUCGGACGGUACCACAGGAAGAAGCCCCGGCUAACUACGUGCCAGCAGCCGCGGUAAUACGUAGGGGGCGAGCGUUGUCCGGAGUUACUGGGCGUAAAGGGCGUGCAGCGGUGCAGUACGUUUGGAGUGACAGUGCCUGGCUUAACCGGGCAAGGUCUUCAAAAACGGCUGGACUUGAGGGCCAGAGAGGGACAUAGAAUUCCGGGUGGAGUGGUGAAAUGCGUAGAUAUCCGGAGGAAUACCAAAGGCGAAGGCAGCGUCCUGGCUGGCAUCUGACGCUGAGGCGCGAAAGCCAGGGGAGCGAACAGGAUUAGAUACCCCUGUAGUCC